rnacentral:rRNA from 1 species
ACUAGAGUAGCACUCGCAUAUCAAUAAGCGGAGGAAAAGAAACUAACAAGGAUUCCCCUAGUAACGGCGAGUGAAGCGGGAAGAGCUCAAAUUUGAAAUCUUAAAGGGUUUCCCUUUACGAAUUGUAGUUUAAAGAAGUGUUUUCUGUUGAGGUUUUGGUAAAAGUUCUUUGGAAUAGGACAUCAUAGAGGGUGAGAAUCCCGUAUUUGACCUUUACUUUCAACUUUGUGAUACACUUUCAAAGAGUCGGAUUGUUUGGGAAUGCAGUCCAAAAUGGGUGGUAAAUUUCAUCUAAAGCUAAAUAUUGGCGAGAGACCGAUAGGCGAACAAGUACCGUGAGGGAAAGAUGAAAAGAACUUUGAAAAGAGAGUUAAACAGUACGUGAAAUUGUCAAAAGGGAAGCGUUUGACACCAGUGUUGUUUUUCUGAAAAUCAAUUAAAGAACUGUUUAUGCUAAGUUGUUUAGACUUUAUCAGCUAUCUGCUCAGUUUUGAGCUUUUCUUUAAUGCACUUUUCAGUUAACAAGUCAACAUCAAUUUCUUUUGCUGUAAAAAAGCCUGAGGAAGGUGGCUUGAGAUUCGUCUUAAGUGUUUAUAGCCUCUUGCCUAUGCAGUCGGAGAGAUUGAGGUCUGCAGCGUAGAUCCUCCGGGGCUAAAUGCAUUUGUGCUAAGUUAUAGCAUUUUAUAGACAACUUGUUGACUAUGAUUUGUCUUGUAGCUUACUCGCUUAUGUUAUUUUACCUACGCUUAGGAUGUUGAACUCUAUCACACACAG